rnacentral:rRNA from 1 species
AUUGAACGCUGGCGGCAUGCCUUACACAUGCAAGUCGAACGGCAGCACGGGUGCUUGCACCUGGUGGCGAGUGGCGAACGGGUGAGUAAUACAUCGGAACAUGUCCUGUAGUGGGGGAUAGCCCGGCGAAAGCCGGAUUAAUACCGCAUACGAUCCACGGAUGAAAGCGGGGGACCUUCGGGCCUCGCGCUAUAGGGUUGGCCGAUGGCUGAUUAGCUAGUUGGUGGGGUAAAGGCCUACCAAGGCGACGAUCAGUAGCUGGUCUGAGAGGACGACCAGCCACACUGGGACUGAGACACGGCCCAGACCCCUAAGGGGGGCAAGAGUGGGGAAUUUUGGACAAUGGGGGAAAGCCUGAACCAGCAAUGCCGCGUGUGUGAAAAAGGCCUUCGGGGUGGAAAGCACUUUUGGCCGGAAAAAAAUCCUUGACUUUAAUACCGUCGGGGGAUGGCGGUACCGGAAAAAAAAGCCCCCGCUAACUACG